GGCGGGCUGGACCUCUCGGGGUUACAGCCUUGCUGAAUUAUUCACCCUUGUCUUUUGCGUACUUCUUGUUUCCUUGGUGGGUUCGCCCACCACUAGGACAAACAUAAACCUUUUGUAAUUGCAAUCAGCGUCAGUAACAAAUUAAUAAUUACAACUUUCAACAACGGAUCUCUUGGUUCUGGCAUCGAUGAAGAACGCAGCGAAAUGCGAUAAGUAGUGUGAAUUGCAGAAUUCAGUGAAUCAUCGAAUCUUUGAACGCACAUUGCGCCCUUUGGUAUUCCAAAGGGCAUGCCUGUUCGAGCGUCAUUUGUACCCUCAAGCUUUGCUUGGUGUUGGGCGUCUUGUCUCUAGCUUUGCUGGAGACUCGCCUUAAAGUAAUUGGCAGCCGGCCUACUGGUUUCGGAGCGCAGCACAAGUCGCACUCUCUAUCAGCAAAGGUCUAGCAUCCAUUAAGCCUUUUUUUCAACUUUGACCUCGGAUCAG
rnacentral:rRNA from 1 species